UGGUGAGACCAGUCCCCACAUGGUCAGCGCUGCUAGUCCAGGGCUGCUGCCUGCUGAGUGCGUGACUGCAGGCUAGGCGAGGAGGCGACAGUUUGGACAUGAGGGUAGUUGUAUAACCUACACAUUGAGCCCUGCGCCCCUUUGUGGUGAGGGGAAAUCCUGGGACCGACGCAGCCUGAUUCCUGCCUGAGGAGGAUCCCUGACCGCAGACAGCAGCCAACCUGCAGUGACUGAGGAGUCCAGCGUCAUCCUCAACCCUGAAGAUCAUCGGCAUGUGACAUCCUAAACCCCCAACAAUAGGAAUCCUCAAUGCUUAGCUGUCGUAACCUCUGUGCCCUCAGUCUGGGAGAGCUGGGAUGCUGCCAUCUGGAUGAGCGACUAAACCAGUACUUUGGAAAGAAUCAAAGGCUCUAUCCAUGCUACCUUUGUGGAGCUGAAAUCACUAGAGUUCACAACCUACUCAAAUGUCCAAUCUUGUCCCUAAGAGACAAUUGGAGUAAAUUGGAGCCCAGCCCCGAAGCAAGAGGAAAACCAAGGUCAAGGGACUGACAGUCAGAGAGACACAGGCAUCGACUUUCCAUUAUGCUGGGGGUGCUCGACCCCAGGCCCUGCCCCAACUCCACCCUUUCCCUCAAGGCCACACCCUGACCCACCUUUUUCCACCCUGCUCUUUCCCGCCCCGUUCCAUCCCCUCCCCUGAGCAUGCCGCAUCCUCGUUCCUCCCCACCAGCCUCCUGCACACCACAAAACAGCUGAUUGCGGCAUGCAGGAGGAAUGGGGAGGGAGGGGGAGGUGCUGAUUGGUGGGGCCCGGGGAAGGUGAGGUGCUGACAGGGGGACUGCCAGUGGGUGCUAAGCACCCACCAUUUUUUCCUUGUGAAAAACAGAGUUGGUACCUAUGCAGAGAGAGAUCAUAUUUCCACUUCUGGAAACCAUUUUACACUGGUAAUUGUUGGUCCAACAGAAAACAAAUCCAUUGCAUUACUUAAUGGAAGUGUGUCGUCUUUAACACAAUAAAUGAAUAAGUUAAAGUACAAUAUGCUAUAACAUGCUCCGUUCAAAGACCCACUUGAACAAAUGCUGUUAGCAUAUGCUGUGCAUUCAACAAAAGAAUGGUCUAUAAAAGACCGUUGUACAUUAGUGGUUGGGACAAUGCUCUGGUAGCUAUCUUUAUCUUAAAGAGUUGGUGGGUGGGUAAAUGGGUAAUUAGCUUAGCGUUAAGAACAUCAUUGAAAGAACCCACAAGAGAAGAGGCAGUUCUUGAUUUAGCCCUAAGUGGAACACAGGAUCUGGUCCAAGAGAAAACUAUAGCUGAACCACUCAGUAGUAGUGACAAUAAUUUAAUUGCAGCAAAGAGUCUUGUGGCACCUUAUAGACUAACAGAAGUUUUGGAGCAUGAGCUUUCGUGGGUGAAUACCCACUUCGUUGGAUGCAAUUUAAUUAAAUUUAACAUCCUUGUAGGGAGGAUAAUACACACUCACACUCACUCACAGUAACAUUUAAUUUAAAAAGGGGAACUUCCCAAAACUGAGGACACUUGUUAGAUGCAAAUUAAAGGAGCUGUCACAAGGGUUAAAUGCCUGCAUGCAAUAUGAAGACUAUUUAAAAACAGCAUAAUGGAGACUAAGGCUAAAUAUAUACCUCUGUGAAGCUCUGUACCUUGGGGGUGGAGGGACAACACCCUUCACCCCCAUGUUCAUCCUUAUAAUAUGAUUGUGUGGUAGCCAAUGCAAAGUUGAUCGUGUUGGGUGUCUUCGGAAGGCUCAUGAUGCACUGAGCAUUGUUGUUACAGUAAUUGUUAUAGUAAUUAUGUUAUAGGUUGUAAUUUCAUGUAUAUAGU